UACGUAGGGGGCAAGCGUUGUCCGGAAUCAUUGGGCGUAAAGAGCGUGUAGGCGGCCCGGUAAGUCCGCUGUGAAAGUCGAGGGCUCAACCCUCGAAUGCCGGCGGAUACUGUCGGGCUAGAGUCCGGAAGAGGCGAGUGGAAUUCCUGGUGUAGCGGUGAAAUGCGCAGAUAUCAGGAGGAACACCCGUAGCGAAGGCGGCACUCUGGGCCGAUUCUGACACUGAGGAGCGAAAGCGUGGGGAGCGAACAGG
rnacentral:rRNA from 1 species